GCACUUCUGAAUAGUCCAACAAUAGGACGAAACGGCUGUCCAGUGC
rnacentral:hammerhead_ribozyme from 1 species